rnacentral:rRNA from 1 species
ACAGAGGGGGCAAGCGUUGUUCGGAAUUACUGGGCGUAAAGCGUGCGUAGGUGGUUUGUUAAGUCCGAUGUGAAAGCCCUGGGCUCAACCUGGGAAUGGCAUUGGAUACUGGCAGGCUAGAGUGCGGUAGAGGGGUGUGGAAUUCCCGGUGUAGCAGUGAAAUGCGUAGAUAUGCGGAGGAACACCGAUGGCGAAGGCAAUCCCCUGGGCCUGCACUGACGCUCAUGCACGAAAGCGUGGGGAGCAAACAGGA